rnacentral:misc_RNA from 1 species
GAUGAAGAACGCAGCGAAAUGCGAUAAGUAAUGUGAAUUGCAGAAUUCAGUGAAUCAUCGAGUCUUUGAACGCACAUUGCGCCCCCUGGUAUUCCGGGGGGCAUGCCUGUCCGAGCGUCAUUGCUGCCCUCAAGCACGGCUUGUGUGUUGGGCCCCCGUCCCCGGUUUCCCCCGGGGACGGGCCCGAAAGGCAGCGGCGGCACCGCGUCCGGUCCUCGAGCGUAUGGGGCUUUGUCACCCGCUCUGUAGGCCCGGCCGGCGCCAGCCGACACCCAACUUUAUUUCUAAGGUUGACCUCGGAUCAGGUAUGGAUACCCGCUGAACUUAAGCAUAUCAAUAAGCGGAGGA